ACACCUCAACUCUCGUGGUCCGCCAUGAUGAGCUUGGACUUUGGGGGUCUUGCCGGCCUAACGUCGGCUCCUCUCAAACGGAUCAGCUUGCCAGUGUUUGGUGGCGUCAUGGGUGUGAUAACUAUCUACGCUUGUGGUUUUCCACCAUGCAACCUUCAGCGAUGGAGGUUCGCUGGAGCUCACAGAUGUCUCUCCUCGGUGAGGACAGCUUUUGAAC
rnacentral:misc_RNA from 1 species